rnacentral:lncRNA from 1 species
ACGAGAACACAGGGACGUGAGUACAUUGGGGUGUGGGGACGCAGGGACAUAGAGGACAUGGUGACAAGUGGACAUAGGGAUGUGAGGACAUGGGGACACAGGGAUGUGUCCCCCACCCCUGCUCUGAGCACUGUCCCCCUAGACUGCAACUAUGAGGGCAGGAAAGUGGUGAAUGGGCAAAGCUUCAGUCCUGAGGGCCGGCCCUGCAUCCGCUGUACCUGCCAGCUUGGGGAGGUGAGCUGCGAGGAGAGGCCGUGUCCCCAGUCCUGCACUGAGCCCACUGCCUGCUGCCUCCGUUGCCAAGCAGACGGCCAGCUGCAGAGCAGUGACACAUCUCCAUUUCUGUCCCCAUCCCCAACCCCACAGCCAUCAUCCCCAUCCUCAUCCCCAUCCUCAUCUCCAUCCCCAUCUCCAUCCCCAUCCUUGUCCCCAUCACCAUCCCACAAGGGCACACCCCAGUCCCCCCGCCACCGCCUGGCCCAGGUCCUGCUCCACCCCAACCCUCUCAGCCCUUCUCUGGGGGGGGAGCCCCCUCCCAACACCCCAAGCCCCCCAUUGGGCUGCCCUGGUAAGGCCACAGGAUCCCCAGCCCUCAGCAGCAACCCCAGCUCAAGACAGGAUGCUCAGGAACAGCCUGGGGACGUGGACAUGGACACAUAGAAUCACCCACACCUGGAGGAGGAGGAGGAGGAGGAGGAGGAGGAGGAAGAGGAAGGCUGCUGGAUUAGUGGGCCUGGCCGGCCAGGCACAGCUGAAGAUGGGGCACUGAGGUGCGCAGUUGGAUGCGCUGAGCAACCAGAGGUGGUGACACAUCCUUGAGCAAUGGGCACGGGGACCCCUGGCCCUUCACCACUACAUGGUGGCAGAGGCUGUAGGGCUGUGGUGCCGGUGCUCUUCCACCCCCCAAUAAAGUUACCCCAGUAUUUACGCUCCA